UGUCGUAGACGGAGACAUAAAUCUUGUGGCUUAUAUAGACCACCACGAAGCACAGGAUGACGAUGAGCAGUCCGAUAAGCAGCACUCAAGCCGCCGCACUUACCUCGCCCGGUCCAGUUUGACGCACUUGAGCGGGCCGCGAGCCACUACAGUCGCCGCACGUGGUCGGUCCAACAGCAGAGCAAUCUCGCCAAAGUAAUCGCUGCUACCGAGACGGCCCACCUCGGCGGGAUCCUCGCCCUGCUGAUUAGAUAAACCAUUUGAUUAGAGUGCCUCUCUUCAUGUGUCCCAGAUCUGAUCACGGUCACUCACCUCAGAACGCUGCUGCAGCACCACCGCACAGCCCUCGAGGAUGAUGUAGAAAUCAUCGCCAGCGGCUCCCUGCUUGACAAUCGUCUCACCGUCAUCGAAGGAGCACGUCUCCAGAGAAUCGGCCACUGUGAGGCGCUCCCAUUUGUCCAGGCUCUCCAGAAUUGA